rnacentral:RNase_P_RNA from 1 species
CGAGUCGGUCAGACAAUCGCUGCCAGCAAUGGCGGAGGAAAGUCCGGGCUCCGCAGAGCAGAGUGCCAGAUAACGUCUGGGAGGUGCGAGCCUACGAACAGUGCAACAGAAAGUAUACCGCCGCAAGGUAAGGGUGAAAAGGCGAGGUAAGAGCUCACCGCACAUCUAGUAAUAGCAUGUGGCAUUGAAAACUCCACUCGGAGCAAGAUCAAAUAGGUUUCCUAUAAUGUUGCUCGCAUUGGAAACGGGUUGAUUGCUUGAGUUUGCAAGUGAUUGCAAAUCUAGAUGAAUGAUUGUCGCCGAAAGGAACAGAACCCGGCUUAUCGACUGACUCACCGU